AUUGAACGCUGGCGGCAGGCCUAACACAUGCAAGUCGAGCGGAUGAAGGGAGCUUGCUCCUGGAUUCAGCGGCGGACGGGUGAGUAAUGCCUAGGAAUCUGCCUGGUAGUGGGGGAUAACGUCCGGAAACGGGCGCUAAUACCGCAUACGUCCUGAGGGAGAAAGUGGGGGAUCUUCGGACCUCACGCUAUCAGAUGAGCCUAGGUCGGAUUAGCUAGUUGGUGGGGUAAAGGCCUACCAAGGCGACGAUCCGUAACUGGUCUGAGAGGAUGACCAGUCACACUGGAACUGAGACACGGUCCAGACGCCUACGGGAGGCAGCAGUGGGGAAUAUUGGGCAAUGGGCGAAAGCCUGAUCCAGCCAUGCCGCGUGUGUGAAGAAGGUCUUCGGAUUGUAAAGCACUUUAAGUUGGGAGGAAGGGCAGUAAGUUAAUACCUUGCUGUUUUGACGUUACCAACAGAAUAAGCACCGGCUAACUUCGUG
rnacentral:rRNA from 1 species